AUCUUGAAUCUGCUUUCUCCCAAAAAGUAAUUUCCAAACUUGUGUAAAAAGGAAAAAUACUAUUUAUUGGGCACACAGUGCAAUUAAAAAACAGCAAGAUAAAUAUGUAAAAAGAUUAUAAAUAGUAUUUUUCCUUUUUACACAAGUAUGGAAAUUACUUUUUGGGAGAAAGCAGAUUCAAGAU